rnacentral:rRNA from 1 species
AGAGUGUUCAAAGCAGGCAGAUCCAAUUUUCUGCCACCGAAUACAUUAGCAUGGGAUAAUGGAAUAGGACCCUGUCCUCCUAUUUUCAGUUGGUUUUGGCAGCGCGAGGACUAGGGUAAUGAUUAAUAGGGAUAGUUGGGGGCAUUAAUAUUUAAUUGUCAGAGGUGAAAUUCUUGGAUUUAUGAAAGAUUAACUUCUGCGAAAGCAUCUGCCAAGGAUGUUUUCAUUAAUCAAGAACGAAAGUUAGGGGAUCGAAGACGAUCAGAUACCGUCGUAGUCUUAACCAUAAACGAUGCCGACCAGCGAUUAGGAGACGUUGAAUACAAAACACCACCAUCGGCGCGGUCGUCCUUGGCGUGUCUCGGCUUCACGGCCGGGGCGCGCGAGGGCGGUUUAGCCCGGUGGCACCGG